UAUAAUGCUAGGUUUUACUCUUGCUUUUUCAUAUGCUGUUCAUAACGAUUUUCUUACAAGUACCUGCUCGAUUGUACUCUUGUUUCGUCUUUGGUUCCAACUGUACCAUGAUCAUUUUGUGUUUACAUAUCGUAAAUAUAUUUUAAUCAGUCACCGUAUUUACAUGGUUCAUGUGAAUUGUCAGGGCCUAAAUUCUUAGUAGCAGCGUGGCAGUG
rnacentral:lncRNA from 1 species